rnacentral:tRNA from 4 species
GGAGGGAUGUCCGAGUGGUUUAAGGAGGCGGUCUUGAAAACCGUUGAGCUUAACGGCUCCGUGGGUUCGAAUCCUACUCCCUCCGCCA